rnacentral:lncRNA from 1 species
AAAAUAAAAAUAAAACUAUACUAUGGUUUUCUAUUUGACAUGAAAUGGGGAAUAGGAAUAAAACCAAGUCGUUAACUCUCAAUCAUCUGAGUUAAAUGCUCUUGGUAAAUAAACAUGAAUUUGGACAUAAUAAAAUACUGCUUUUAUUAAAUUUUAGAAAAUUAUUUUUGUUCAUACUUAAGUUAGUACCAAACAUAAUCAUAUACACACACACACACAUAAAUAUAUGUUACAUAUACAUAUAUAUAUGUUUAUUCAAAAAACAUAUAUAUACAUAUGUCUGCAUCAACAUCUAUAUCUAAAUGUAUAUUUAUGUUCUGUUCUCUAUUAGCAGGCAUAUACAUAUUCAUACAGAAAUUUAUAUAUACAUAUAAUAUAUAUUGUGUAUAUAUACACAUAUUUUGGAUAAGUAGUACAUGUACAUUUACAUACAUAUAUUGUGCCUUAAAACUAUAAAUCUAUGUAUCUACCUAUAUAUAUAUAUAUAUAUAUAUAUACUUAUCUAUAUGUAUACAUAUUUGUAUGUACAUAUAAAAAUUUAGGAAACACAAACUAAGAAAUUUUCCAAUGUACUAAACAUGGUCUUAGUGUUUUCCCAUGGCAGUACCAUUAUUGCCUCUCUUUCUUUUACUAUCAAUAAAGGAAUACCUUGGAUAUGUUUUCUCAAAGAUCAAUAAAAUUGUAUAAUUUUAGUUACAUAUCUCAAAGAUCAAUAAAAUUGUAUAAUUUUAGUUAUGUCAUUGUUGCAAACAUUUAUAACAUAUGUUCUUGUUUGUGUUGGACUGCCUCCCUGUGUGACUUGUGUGCAUGCUAAACUGUUAUAUAUGACUAUCCAUGUCAGCAAGCACGUAUGUAGACAUGUAAGUUUUUGUAUAUUUAAACUUCGACGUACUCUAAACUGCUAUAUACGUAGAUACUUUCUUCAAAUGAGUUCUAACAGGAUACUUUCUCCAUGUCAGCAAGCACGUAUGUAGACAUGUAAGUUUUUGUAUAUUUAAACUUCGACGUACUCUAAACUG